rfam:Brochothrix thermosphacta DSM 20171 = FSL F6-1036 c_rep_c63, whole genome shotgun sequence.
CGCUUUAAUGGGCGAACAGCCCAUUAAAGCGGUACGCGAGCUGGGUUCAGAACGUCGUGAGACAGUUCGGUCCCUAUCCGUCGCGGGCGCAGGAAAUUUGAGAGGAGCUGUCCUUAGUACGAGAGGACCGGGAUGGACACACCGCUGGUGUACCAGUUGUUCCGCCAGGAGCAUCGCUGGGUAGCUAUGUGUGGAAGGGAUAAACGCUGAAAGCAUCUAAGCGUGAAGCCCCCCUCGAGAUGAGAUUUCCCAUCACUUUAUGUGAGUAAGACCCCUGAGAGACGAUCAGGUUGAUAGGUUCGGAGUGGAAGUACAGCAAUGUAUGGAGCGGACGAAUACUAAUAGGUCGAGGACUUAACCUU